GCCUUCUAUGGUGUAGUUGGUAGCACCUUGGCAUAGUAACUGUAUGUCCCAGGUUCAAAUCCCGGUUGGGGUA